rnacentral:lncRNA from 1 species
UGUUAUAGAGAUCAGAUAAUUGUUUGAUAAUUUUUUGAUAUUAGGUUAUUUUGAGUUGUAAUAUAUUAAAAAAAUAACUUUUUUGGUGGGGUUUGACAGUGAGAUUUGUAACAGUUCCCUGAAAAAAUUGAAAACAGCUUUUUUCAAAAGCACGAAAGAUAUGCUUUUUCUAAAAACAGUUUUUUUAACUAAAACUGCUGUUCGGAAAAACUGUUUUCACAGUUUUUCGAGCAGCUUUUGCUAUUUGCAACAGCAGCCUGCCUAGCUCACUAACUACACUGCUCACUGGUCGUUGGCUCGUUGCUUCACAUAUUCAUCCCGCGGCAGCCGGCUGCUCUCUAGUCUCUCCCUCUCAAGAUUCAAUCGGUGCUUUACGAUCUCACUUACUUUCUGAAUUUCACGGUACGAUAUUUUGAUUGAUUCUUGGAUAAAUUUUUAGUUUUUAAAACUUUUGCAUCUUUUGUGAUUUCAUAUAUUGAAACUGUUAAUCGGGGUCCGGGUUCCUCAGGAAUUAGAGUUUGAAGGGUGCUCUCUUUUAUUUUGUAUAAUCUUUUGUGAUUUUUCUUUUAUUUUAUCUGUUUGAUAAUUCUUAUUGAUUCAUGGUGUGGUAGUCUAAUUUGGUACUCCCGAGUUAAAUCUUUAAAUUACCAGGACUCAGCUAGGAGGCAAGGUCUUAAUUAUUAAUUACUUAGUGCUUGUUUGGUUGACAUCUAGAUAUGUGGGCAGUAGAAGUUCCUAGGAAGUAGUAUUUGAUUAAACUGUUUGAUUGACAUUAAUUGGGGAAGUGUAAGUUCCCUAGAAUUUUAAAUGCCUAUAAAACAUAGGAAGUAUAAAACAUAGGAAGUUAUUGACCUAGACCCCCUUGGUAACUUGCACUUACUGUAGGAAGUUGAAACCUAUCUAUCAACCAAACACAAAUUUUAACUUCCCAUUUAUUAUAAUUUCCAUAGUAAUUUCAAAUUACAUAGGAUUUAACUUCCUAUUGGUAACCAAACAAGCACUUAGUACAUCAUCCUGAUUUCUAAGCACUGCAAUGCUGAGUUGUCGACAAUUGUGUACUGUAAUUUCUUGUGUUUCCUUUCAUGCCUAGUUCGUCGCUAUUGCCUAUUAGAAUUGUAUCAUUAUGUGCUACUAUGUCGUAAUAAUUAUCAUAAUGGCCUCUAGAAAAGAAUGGAUAUGCAGCUCUGUAAUAUUCCUAUGAGUUCGGCAUGCAGUCUGCUUGUGUUUUUUUUCUUUGUAGCUAAAGAAAUAUGCUGAGGGAGACAGAAUCUCCAGCUUGAGAUUUUAUUUUGGGAAUUUUAAUCACUUAUAGUAAUAAGUGUUUUCAGGCUUCCAAUCUAGAGCUUUUGAUUUAGGACCUCGAUUUAUGUAUUUUCUCGUUUUUCACUUAUAUAUCAGAAUGAUUUUGCACUUCGAUUUUGCAGUGUGUAUAUUAGGACUAUGAUCAAGCUUUUCUCCUUUAAAUAAAAUCACCUUUGCCACAGGCCACUCUUAAGUGAUUUGCCUCCCAACUUUUCUAGGAUCUUUUUUCCUCCUUUCUUUGAGAAUUCAUUGUUUCUUUGUAGCUAAAGAAAUACUCAUUACCUUGUCUCUGAGUUUCAAGUCUUGAACUUUGUUUUUCUCAGUCUCUCCUCCUAAAUGUUGCUACCAAAUUUCUUUUGCCUAGACUUCUUGUGGAAUUCUUGUAACAAAAAUUGCACAUUAUGAUUCCUCUUUGACCAGACCUCCGAGCAUUCUCAUUUUCCCUAAAUUUCACUAUUUACUAAUCGGGCUCAUCCAAGAUCUUUUCAUUAGUUUUCACCUUGUCCUCAUUUUGGACAUGCUUGAGAGCAUCAGCAUAAGAUCUUCUCAUAGCAAUCCUUCCAUCUUUCUUAUUCUUAUCUUCUCCUCUUUAUUGUCCAUUCUAUACUUUUCGAGGUUCGUGGGAUGAAGCAGAGUUCUAUUAGUGGAUUUGGUUCAACGCCAUUCUAACUACUUUAUAUCUCCUUCCCUUUCGAACAUCUAAAUCAGAAAGGUCUCAACAAAAUUAACUAAAGAUCACAACUAUCUCAAAUUUCUUCUCUAUUAUCUAUUCUAUUUCUCUCCAUUCCAAUCUUCAGCCCUCUCCGGUUACCUUUUCCAAAAUUUACGAUCAACCAUCAGUUCACUGAUUCUUUCAAAUUCAGAUUGGUGUUAAAGUUUGUUUCUAAAUAUCUGGUUUAUUAUAUAAACAAUGAAAAUAAUGUAGAUCUGAAAAGGAAUUUAAUACAAUUCAGCGUUGACAAAAGCUAGUAUUCCAACGUUACAUCACAUAGUUGGGAAUCACACACUAUUACUUGCAGGAAGUAAAGUUCUACUACGCACUUCGCCCCUUAGAUUAUAAAUGUAUACAGGAGUGGCACCGAUUACGAAGAAGAGAAUCAGUAGAUUCACACCAGCGCCCAGUGUCGAUUUGUCAGCUAGCAUGACACUAGUUCCUUCAACAAAAGCUACCAUCAUUGAGCAAAUCGCCAAAAAGUUUAAUGCUGCUGUGUUCCGGACUAUGCGUUUUACUUGACUCGCAUCUUUGUUAGAUGAUGUAAAGAAGUAGAGUAAUAACGAGGCAACCGACAACAUCAGGGCAAGUGCAUCAAGGAUAAUAAAAUAGGCAAAAUCAGUUUUUCUUAAAAGAACCGGUGAUCCUUUGCUCCCAUCAAAGCCCCCAGGCACGUUGAAUAGUACUGAGAAGGCCACUGUUGCAAUGAGUGCGGAUACUACCAUAUGGGUGUUGAUCGCUUUUCUGUGCUCCUCAAUUUCUAUGUUGUUAGUUAUUUCAGUAUGUUUCACAAUUCUCUUCCCACUAUCCGCAUUUGGCUCUCUGAGUGUACGCCACAACCACCAAUGCUUUCUAACAUUGGCCUUAAUGAGUGAUGUUCUAACCAAGAGCUGCAAUGAAAGAUUGUUGUAAUCAAAACUCACAGGUGUGAAUGAGAAUUAAUAAGCUAGCUGGUAUAAGUACCUGAUUGGCUAACGUAUGUGUUUCUUGUUCCAAAUGCAGUACGUCCAAGGGGGUGUAAUUGUUGGAAUCGAGUACUUCCCAAUCAACUUCCCACUCUGCUGGUCUUCUAUCUAUGAACAUUGAACGUAACCAUCUCAUCACAAUCCGCGAGGGACGUACUUUCAUCCCUCUUGUUCCCAUCAGCCUAUAAACAAAAAUUCCCAGCUUGGUAGGUGGAGUGGUGUAUUGCCGCUAUUGUCCCUUUUAGUUAAAAGGUUAUUGCUUGCUUGAAAACCACGGGACAAGAUAUAAUCAAUAACACCCUUUCGAUCUUCCUCCACCGCGAUAUGCAAUAUAUUUCGACCACUUCCAUCUGUAAUCUCCCAACAAUCUGGAAAAUGUUUGACAAAUGUCUUCAUGACAUCCACAUUUCCAGUGUAUGCUGCUAUGUGUAAAGGUGUUCUUCCAUACAUCUUGUCUUUAUGGUACGCCACAUAUUUGUCUUCAUCAGCAACUAGAAGUCCAAUUAUUAGUUCCACUAUUGUAUGAAGAUCGUUAUGUGCCGCAUAAUGAAAUACCGUCCAACCAUAAUCAUCUACUUCCUUUAAUAGACCUAUAUUCCAAUCCAAAAGACGUUGCACGCAUUCUGACAUAAGAACAAAAACACAAAACAAGAGUGAUCACUAGAAUAGAUCAGACAUCUGCAUGUAUACACAUUUAUAUAUACAUGAGCUCAAAUGACAAUUAUGUACGAACUUAGCACAAUACAGUACAUAGUAUUAUGCCAAAAAUUUAUUAAUUAUACAUCUGAAAGCUUAUGAACUCACAAAUAAGUAUACCUAUAUAUGUAAGUAACUGAUGUCUUGCUAAUAAGAAUGAAGUGCAAAUUUUUGUCAAUCUUCUUUGUGCUUAGGAGUCUUUAAUUCCCAUUAGAAAUUUUAAGGUUUUUUAUAGUUUGUAUGUACUUCUGAACAGGUAAACUCAAGAAUUUUACUCGAUGAUAACUUUAAGUUUUUCACAAUAAUCUAUGAAAUCACGUGUAGCCAUUUUCAUAUGUUUCUCUUUUCUUUGCUUAUUAGCCAUUUUCAUAUGUAUGUGUUUGUGAAUUUUAGCGAUUUUUCCUCUAACCAUAGAUCCUCCUUUUCCUUUCUUUUAUUAGGUGAUUUAUAUGAUUGGUGAGGUUGGUGAGUGCGUCCCCUACAUCUACAAAUGAUGUUUAUAGUUGGCUAAAAACAAUACUAAAAGAAGAAAUAAAAGUAUUUUCUAUUAAAAAAAUCAAUGCGAUUAAGUAGAAUGGUAAGGGUUUUUGGGACCAGUAAUGGAUCCCGAGAUAGGCCUUGACGGGGUCUAAGUGGGGCCUAGUAGGGUUAAGGUGGGGUCGGGUGGGACCAUGGUGGAGCCAAGUUUUGGCUCUUAAGGAUGUCUGGAGCCUGUCCAGGGCCUGUGCGGAGCCUUGACGAGGCUCUAGCGGGUCCGAGAUGGGUUGAGCGGGGGCGAGAGUGGGCCCUAGGUGGGUAUGACACAUAGGGGGUGGGUGAUGACAUAUAGGGGGUGGGUGAUAUCAUUUAGGUGUAGUUUUUCUUGGUUUGUAUUUUAGUUUUUAUUUUAGUGUUUGUAUUUGAACAAUUGCCUAUAUAUAUAGAGGGGUUUAAAAUUUUUGGAGCUCUUAUAUAUGUGAGCCCUGAGCGACGGCUUAUUUUAUUUUACAGUUGAGUUGGUGCUCGACUUUUAACGUUAACGGCAUGGAUUUAUGCAUAAUUAACGGAAAGGGUGUAAACUGAUUUGAAAAACUGAAGUAAUGGGGGUGCGAUUUGAAUUAUUCAUAAUUAUGAUAUAAAAUUGUUUUGAACGAAAAUUAUGUAGUGCGAUAUUCACUUUAAUUCCAUUUGAUUGAAAUGUUAGCGUGGAAAAUACGGAGAGAUGUAUGAUAUGUGCAAACUUACCAUGUCCCCCGUGAUUCCUAUAAUCCAAUACUACAGCAUGCAAAGCUGUUCUUCCUUCCGGACCACCACAUAUGGCAUGCAAAUCUGUCCCCCCACCGGCACUACCACUUAUAAUGUUUGGCCAAUUACAAUUGACGAGAAUGGUAGUAAUUAUAUCAGUAUAGUACCUAAUAGAAGCCAAGUAUAGUGGAGUUUCCUUGUACUUAUUCUGAGGAUGUGGAUAGCUUGGAUCUGUUACUACCAGAAGUUCCA